rnacentral:rRNA from 1 species
UACGAAGGGGGCUAGCGUUGUUCGGAAUCACUGGGCGUAAAGGGCGCGUAGGCGGCCUGAUAAGUCGGGGGUGAAAGCCUGUGGCUCAACCACAGAAUUGCCUUCGAUACUGUUAGGCUUGAGACCAGAAGAGGUAAGUGGAACUGCGAGUGUAGAGGUGAAAUUCGUAGAUAUUCGCAAGAACACCAGUGGCGAAGGCGGCUUACUGGUCCGGUUCUGACGCUGAGGCGCGAAAGCGUGGGGAGCAAACAGG